rnacentral:rRNA from 1 species
CCUACGGGUGGCAGCAGUGGGGAAUAUUGCACAAUGGGGGGAACCCUGAUGCAGCAACGCCGCGUGGGUGAAGAAGUACUCCGGUAUGUAAAGCCCUUUCAGCAGGGAAGAAAAUGACGGUACCUGACCAAGAAUCCCCGUCUAACUACGUGCCAGCAGCCGCGGUAAUACGUAGGGGGCAAGCGUUAUCCGGAUUUACUGGGUGUAAAGGGAGCGUAGGCGGCAGUGCAAGUCCGGAGUGAAAGCCCGUGGCCCAAACACGGGACUGCUUUGGAAACUGUGUUGCUGGAGUGCAGGUGGGGUAAGCGGAAUGCGUGGUGUAGCGGUGAAAUGCGUAGAUAUUAGGCAGAACCCCGGUGGCGAAGGCAGCUUACUGGCCUGUAACUGACGUUGAGGCACGAAGGCGUGGGGAACGAACAGGAUUAGAUACCCUGGUAGUC